CCUCUCCCCAGUGUUUGCAGCAGUGCCCCUGUCCCUAUGUCUACCUGUCUUCCUCACGAGGAGUCAUCAUCUCACUCUUUUUGAUACCCCACAACAGACAGGAUCUAAGGUGCCUGUGCCCCCUUUGGAGCCUCAAGUCUGUCUCUGCAUCCACAUCCAGGGACGUGAACAAGAACGGAGGGAGUCUGAUUUAACUUAGAGCACUCAAACUCAGGUCAAUGUCUGGGGGGAGGAUUUCCGUCCUGGGACAAAUAGUAUCCCCCAUCCCAUUUUUGCCAGCGUGCUAGUUUAAAAACAACAAUAGUAAUCUCUGGCAAGAAAGAAUUCUCUGAACGUGGAGAGGGCGAAAACAAUGAAUAAGGAGAUGAUUUUCCAUUUCUGGCCCCCGAGGGAGAUUUUUUUAAAAUUUAUUUUGAGGGGAUCAAGAUAUUCUGAACUUUAGGGAGUGCUGUAAUUUGCUGGAGAGAGGGGACACAAAACUUGGGGCCCCAAGCAAUUGGUGGGAAACUAGAUCUCAAAGCAGAAAAUGAAAAGUCGAUCUGGGGGAAGAUUUUUAAAUAAGUGGGUCAGAAGGACGGAGAGGAGAUGAGGCGAUCAAUCUUAGCCCCCUGACAGCUCCCUCCGAUGGCAUCAAAGAAUUUGGCUCUUUGGGAAAGCAGAGGGAACAGCCGAAAUUCCACAUCCCUUUAAAAGGCCUGGGGGUGGGGGGGAUAGAAAAAGAGAAAGGUGAUUCUGGGAGAGCGGGGAAACAGAUGGGAAAUGGGGACAGAGGGAAGGUCGCUGAGUUGGGUGGAAAGUUUGUCUGGAGAACUCCCACGGCUCAGGCCUCCCCUCCCCCUCCUCCUCUCCGCUGCCGGGCAAGGAAGAGAAGGCUGGUUAGCAGAGAAAUGGCAACUCAGCCGGGAGCUGGAACUAGAAACUUUCUGUCAAUGUAACAGCCGCGUGGGUGGCGACCCAAUGGUGGUUGGGCUCCGGGUCACGUGACAUCUUCUUUGUAGCUCCGGAAGAGAACUGUGAAGUUUAGGUUGCUUGGAAGAAGCAGUAAACGGCCAGAUUUUGUUAUUGUUGUUGUUGUUGUGUAAGGGGUGGCCAGCAAGUUGUGGCCAAAGGAGCAAGAAAACAAAAGGUCAAUGAGAAAAACUGAGAAGCAAGAGAAUUGGAAGAGGGGAAAAAAUCAAGAUUUGGAGGAAUUAACCACAGAGAUGGAAGGUCUCUCACCCAAGCAGAGUCUAGCCUGGAGGGAAAAAAAAAAAGAGGAUCUCCGAAAGAGACUGGAAGGACAAGCAAGUUGAGCAGGGAACCUUCUCCUGUAAGGAGCCCUCUCGUUCUCCUCCCACCUCACGAAGACAACAGCUUGACCUAGAAACUUCCUGAAGAUUUUUUAACCUCCAGAGCCAGCAGAACCGAACCUCCUCACUGGCCCUGCGGCAGUCUGUUUCCUUUGAUUUCUCCAAAAGAAGAAAAGAAGAGAGAAACUGGAUAACUGCUUGACUUUUCUACCAAGAGAUGCGAGAGUGCUUCCUGAAUAAGAACACCUUUACCCAAGGCAAAAAAGAAAGUCAACAGAGCAAUCAGAAAAAAUUAUUCUCUGGGUUGGAAACGGGGUACUUUGUUUACUGAAGUUUUCCAAGGCAAAAAAAAAAAUCAUUAUUUUAACACAGACUUUUAAAACUGUGCAGAAAAAAAAUAAAGCUCCAAGCUGUCAUAGGAUUUUGUGUAUUUCUUCUAAAACUUCUGACUGCAUUUUUUUUCUCCCUGCCU